rnacentral:snRNA from 1 species
GUGCUUGUUUCGGCAGCACAUACACUAAAAUUUAAUGAUACAGAGAAGAUUAGCAUGGCCCCUGUGCAAGGAUGACAUGCAAAUUCGUGAAGCCUUGGAAUUCCAC